GACGAACGCUGGCGGCGUGCUUAACACAUGCAAGUCGAACGGAAAGGCCCUGCUUUUGUGGGGUGCUCGAGUGGCGAACGGGUGAGUAACACGUGAGUAACCUGCCCUUGACUUUGGGAUAACUUCAGGAAACUGGGGCUAAUACCGGAUAGGAUCUCCUGCUGCAUGGUGGGGGUUGGAAAGUUUCGGCGGUUGGGGAUGGUCUCGCGGCUUAUCAGCUUUUUGGUGGGGUAGUGGCUUACCAAGGCUUUGACGGGUAGCCGGCCUGAGAGGGUGACCGGCCACAUUGGGACUGAGAUACGGCCCAGACUCCUACGGGAGGCAGCAGUGGGGAAUAUUGCACAAUGGGCGGAAGCCUGAUGCAGAAACGCCGCGUGCGGGAUGACGGCCUUCGGGUUGUAAACCGCUUUAGCCUGUGACGAAGAGUGAGUGACGGUAAUGGGUAAAGAAGCACCGGCUAACUACGUG
rnacentral:rRNA from 1 species